rnacentral:snRNA from 1 species
AUACUUAUCUGGCAGGAGAGAUACCAUGAUCACGAAGGUGGUUUUCCUAGGGUGAGGCUUAUCCAUUGCACUUCGGAUGUGCUGACCCCUGCAAUUUCCGUAAAUGUGGGAAACUCGACUGCAUAAUUUGUGGUAGUGGGGGACUGUGUUCGCACUCUCCCCUA